UCCCUGAUGGUCCAGUGGUUAAGACUCCAUGCUUGCAUUGUGGAGACCUGGGUUUAAUCCUUUGUCAGAGAA
rnacentral:tRNA from 1 species